rnacentral:rRNA from 1 species
GGCGAACGUUAGCGGCGGGCCUAACACAUGCAAGUCGAACGCGAAAGGUCUUCGGACUGAGUAGAGUGGCGCACGGGUGAGUAACACGUAGGUAAUCUACCCUUUGGCGGGGGAUAACGUUCCGAAAGGAGCGCUAAUACCGCAUAAGACCACGGAGUCUCCGGACGCUGUGGGAAAAGGUGGCCUCUUCUUGAAAGCUACCACCGAAGGAUGAGCCUGCGUCCCAUCAGCUAGUUGGUAAGGUAAUGGCUUACCAAGGCGAAGACGGGUAGCUGGUUUGAGAGAAUGAUCAGCCACACUGGCACUGGAACACGGGCCAGACCCCUACGGGAGGCAGCAGUGAGGAAUAUUGGGCAAUGGGCGAAAGCCUGACCCAGCCACGCCGCGUGAGUGAUGAAGGCCCUCGGGUCGUAAAGCUCUGUGGAGAGGGACGAAAACCCUGGUUUCAAAUAGGCUCCAGGCUUGACGGUACCUCUUUAGCAAGCACCGGCUAACUCUGUGCCAGCAGCCG